rnacentral:rRNA from 1 species
GGUAAUUCCAGACUCCAAUAGCGUUAUAUUAAAGUUGCUGCAGYGUAAAAAGCUCGGUAGCUUGGAUUUGUGGCGCGGCCGUCCGGCGCGCGGCAUCUUUCAUUAUGGCCGUUUGUCCGGUUUUUCGGCCGCAUCCAUUCUCGGGKAGCGUGUCGCUGGCAUUAUGUUUGUUGGCUUCUUCGCGCCCGUCGUUUACUGUGAAAAAAUUAKAGUGYUCAAAGCAGGCUUAGGCCGUUGGAUACAGUUAACAUGGUAAUAAUGAGAUAGGGCCACGACNGYCUAUUUUGUUGGUUUGCACGUUGUGGUAAUGAUUAACAGGAACGGUUGGGGGUAUUCGUAUUCAAUUGWCAGAGGUGAAAUUCUUGGAUUUAUGGAASACGAACUACUGCRAAAKCAUUUACCAWGGAUGUUUUCAUUAAUCAAGAACGAAAGUUAGGGGAUCGAAGAUGAUUAGAUACCAUCSUAAUCUUAACCAUAAACUAUGCCAACUACGGAUUGGCGGUCGAUAAUUUACAGGACUCCGUCAGCACCUUCCGAGAAAUCAAAGUCUUUGGGUUCCGGGGGGAGUAUGGUCGCAAGGCUGAAACUUAAAGAAAUUGACGGAAGGGCACCACCAGGAGUGGAGCCUGCGGCUUAAUUUGACUCAACACGGGGAAACUUACCAGGUCCGGACAUAGUGAGGAUUGACAGAUUGAGAGCUCUUUCUUGAUUCUAUGGGUG